rnacentral:rRNA from 1 species
AGCGAACGCUGGCGGCAGGCUUAACACAUGCAAGUCGAGCGGGCAUCCUUGUGGUGUCAGCGGCAGACGGGUGAGUAACGCGUGGGAACGUGCCCUUCGGUUCGGAAUAACUCAGGGAAACUUGAGCUAAUACCGGAUACGUGCGAGAGCAGAAAGGUUUAUCUGACGAAGGAUCGGCCCGCGUCUGAUUAGCUAGUUGGUGAGGUUAUGGCUCACCAAGGCGACGAUCAGUAGCUGGUCUGAGAGGAUGAUCAGCCACACUGGGACUGAGACACGGCCCAGACUCCUACGGGAGGGAGCAGUGGGGAAUAUUGGACGAUGGGGGCAACCCUGAUCCAGCCAUGCCGCGUGAGUGAUGACGGCCUUAGGGUUGUAAAGCUCUUUUCGUCGGGACGAUAAUGACGGUACCGGAGGAAUAAGCCCCGGCUAACUUCGUG